rnacentral:rRNA from 1 species
ACAUGCAAGUCGAACGAUGAUGCCCAGCUUGCUGGCCGAUUAGUGGCGAACGGGUGAGUAAAGGAGGCCGCCCUUGACUCGGGAUAAGCCUGGGAAACCGGUCUAAUACUGGAUACUACCUCUUGCCGCAUGGUGGGGGUGGAAAGGGUUUUACUGGUUUUGGAUGGGUCACGGCCUAUCAGCUUGUUGGUGGGGUAAUGGCUCACCAAGGGACGACGGGUAGCCGGCCUGAGAGGGUGACCGGCCACACUGGACUGAGACACGGCCCACACUCCUACGGGAGGCAGCAGUGGGGAAUAUUGCACAAUGGGCGGAAGCCUGAUGCAGCACGCCGCGUGAGGGAUGACGGCCUUCGGGUUGUAAACCUCUUUCAAGGGAAGAAGCGAGAGUGACGGUACCUGCAAAGAAGCGCCUGCUAACUACGUGCCAGCGCCGCGUAUACGUAGGCGCAAGCGUUGUCCGGAAUUAUUGGGCGUAAAGAGCUCGUAGCGGUUUGUCGCGUCUGCUGUGAAAGCCCGGGGCUCAACCCCGGGUCUGCAGUACGGGAGACUAGAGUGAGAGGGGAGACUGGAAAUUCCUGGUGAGCGUAAAUGGCAGAUCCAGAGGGAACACUAUGGCCAAGCAGUCUCUGGGCUGACGCCCCCUGAAGGAACCAAAGCUGGGGAGCGAAACAGGAUGAGAACCCUGGAGUCCAUGCCCUAAACGUUGGCCACAGGGUGUGGGGGAACAUUUCCCACGUUUGUCCGCGCCGUACCGUAAC